rnacentral:rRNA from 1 species
AUUGAACGCUGGCGGCAUGCCUUACACAUGCAAGUCGAACGGCAGCACGGGAGCAAUCCUGGUGGCGAGUGGCGAACGGGUGAGUAAUGCAUCGGAACGUGCCCUGAAGUGGGGGAUAACGUAGCGAAAGUUACGCUAAUACCGCAUAUUCUGUGAGCAGGAAAGCAGGGGAUCGCAAGACCUUGCGCUUUAGGAGCGGCCGAUGUCGGAUUAGCUAGUUGGUGGGGUAAAAGCUCACCAAGGCGACGAUCCGUAGCGGGUCUGAGAGGAUGAUCCGCCACACUGGGACUGAGACACGGCCCAGACUCCUACGGGAGGCAGCAGUGGGGAAUUUUGGACAAUGGGCGCAAGCCUGAUCCAGCCAUGCCGCGUGAGUGAAGAAGGCCUUCGGGUUGUAGAGCUCUUUCGGCGGGGAAGAAAUGGCACUUUCUAAUACAGAGUGUCGAUGACGGUACCCGCAUAAGAAGCACCGGCUAACUACGUGCCAGCCGCCGCUGUAA